ACUUUCAACAACGGAUCUCUUGGUUCUGGCAUCGAUGAAGAACGCAGCGAAAUGCGAUAAGUAAUGUGAAUUGCAGAAUUCAGUGAAUCAUCGAAUCUUUGAACGCACAUUGCGCCCGCCAGUAUUCUGGCGGGCAUGCCUGUUCGAGCGUCAUUUCAACCCUCAAGCCCGCUGCGCGCUUGGUGUUGGGGACCGGCCCGCCCGCCUCGCGGCGGCGGCCGCCCCCGAAAUGAAUUGGCGGUCUCGUCGCGGCCUCCUUUGCGUAGUAACAUACCACCUCGCAACCGGGAGCGCGGCGCGGCCACUGCCGUAAAACGCCCAACUUCUCCAAGAGUUGACCUCGAAUCAGGUAGGAAUACCCGCUGAACUUAAGCAUAUCAAUAAGCGGAGGAAAAGAAACCAACAGGGAUUGCCCCAGUAACGGCGAGUGAAGCGGCAACAGCUCAAAUUUGAAAUCUGGCCCCCAGGGCCCGAGUUGUAAUUUGCAGAGGAUGCUUUUGGCGAGGCGCCUUCCGAGUUCCCUGGAACGGGACGCCACAGAGGGUGAGAGCCCCGUCUGGUUGGAUGCCGAGCCUCUGUAAAGCUCCUUCGACGAGUCGAGUAGUUUGGGAAUGCUGCUCUAAAUGGGAGGUAUAUGUCUUCUAAAGCUAAAUAUUGGCCAGAGACCGAUAGCGCACAAGUAGAGUGAUCGAAAGAUGAAAAGCACUUUGAAAAGAGGGUUAAAUAGUACGUGAAAUUGUUGAAAGGGAAGCGCUCAUGACCAGACUUGGGCCCGGUGAAUCAUCCAGCGUUCUCGCUGGUGCACUUUGCCGGGCCCAGGCCAGCAUCAGUUCGCCCCGGGGGACAAAGGCUCUGGGAAUGUGGCUCCUCCGGGAGUGUUAUAGCCCUCUGCGCAAUGCCCUGGGGCGGACUGAGGUCCGCGCAUCUGCAAGGAUGCUGGCGUAAUGGUCAUCAGCGACCCGUCUUGAAACACGGACCAAGGAGUCGUCCUCGUAUGCGAGUGUUCGGGUGUGAAACCCCUACGCGUAAUGAAAGUGAACGCAGGUGAGAGCUUCGGCGCAUCAUCGACCGAUCCUGAUGUUCUCGGAUGGAUUUGAGUAAGAGCAUACGGGGCCGGACCCGAAAGAAGGUGAACUAUGCCUGUAUAGGGUGAAGCCAGAGGAAACUCUGGUGGAGGCUCGCAGCGGUUCUGACGUGCAAAUCGAUCGUCAAAUAUGGGCAUGGGGGCGAAAGACUAAUCGAACCUUCUAGUAGCUGGUUUCCGCCGAAGUUUCCCUCAGGAUAGCAGUGUUGAUCUCAGUUUUAUGAGGUAAAGCGAAUGAUUAGGGACUCGGGGGCUAUAUACUGCCUUCAUCCAUUCUCAAACUUUAAAUAUGUAAGAAGCCCUUGUUGCUUAAUUGAACGUGGGCAUUCGAAUGUAUCAACACUAGUGGGCCAUUUUUGGUAAGCAGAACUGGCGAUGCGGGAUGAACCGAACGCGAGGUUAAGGUGCCAGAGUAGACGCUCAUCAGACACCACAAAAGGUGUUAGUACAUCUUGACAGCAGGACGGUGGCCAUGGAAGUCGGAAUCCGCUAAGGACUGUGUAACAACUCACCUGCCGAAUGUACUAGCCCUGAAAAUGGAUGGCGCUCAAGCGUCUCACCCAUACCUCGCCCUCAGGGUAGAAACGAAGCCCUGAGGAGUAGGCGGACGUGGGGGUCAGUGACGAAGCCUAGGGCGUGAGCCCGGGUCGAACGGCCUCUAGUGCAGAUCUUGGUGGUAGUAGCAAAUACUUCAAUGAGAACUUGAAGGACCGAAGUGGGGAAAGGUUCCAUGUGAACAGCGGUUGGACAUGGGUUAGUCGAUCCUAAGCCAUAGGGAAGUUCCGUUUCAAAGGUGCACUUGUGCGCCGUCUGGCGAAAGGGGAGCCGGUCAAUAUUCCGGCACCUGGAUGUGGGUUUUGCGCGGCAACGCAACUGAACGCGGAGACGACGGCGGGGGCCCCGAGCAGAGUUCUCUUUUCUUCUUAACGGUCUCUCACUCUGAAAUCAGUUUGUCUGGAGAUAGAGUUUAAUGGCCGGAAGAGCCCAGCACCUCUGCUGGGUUCGGUGCGCUCCCGACGUCCCUUGAAAAUCCGCGGGAAGGAAUAAUUCUCACGCCAGGUCGUACUCAUAACCGCAGCAGGUCUCCAAGGUGAACAGCCUCUGGUUGAUAGAAC
rnacentral:rRNA from 1 species